UACAGGGGGUGCAAACGUUGCUCGGAAUUAUUGGGCGUAAAGCGCACGUAGGUGGUCAUUUAAGUCGGAUGUGAAAGCCCCAGGCUCAACUUGGGAAGUGCAUCCGAAACUGCAGAGCUUGAGUACCGGAGAGGAUGGCGGAAUUCCCCAAGUAGAGGUGAAAUUCGUAGAUAUGGGGAGGAACACCGGUGGCGAAGGCGGCCAUCUGGACGGAUACUGACGCUGAGACGCGAAAGCGUGGGUAGCAAACAGG
rnacentral:rRNA from 1 species